CUCUGAGCACAUUCCAUGUGGAGUAUGGGACUCAGUAGGAUGAGCCUGGUCAAUUGUUAUCUAUUUUUCCCAUAUGAAAGUGGAUACUAGGAGGUGAUUUUAUAGGGAAGAUAUCACGUCUGGAUGGAAUACAAGAAGAAACUGGGAGGAGGAAGACAGCUGGAAACUGGGUCAAAGCUCAUUGGAAUACAAGCAGACACAUCUCCAAAAAGCAGAAUAAUCUCAGGAAGACGUUGCCCUCUCCUGAGCUAGGUAGAAGGUCUUGAGCUGUAGCCUGAACUGGUGUCUGAUUGAAGAAUGCGUGCAGGUGCCUCCUCCAUCAGUCUGGUCCCAGAAGACAUCUUGCAGUUUACUACAAGUUUUUAAGAAAGAUGCAGCGGUCUGUGAAAAGGCUAACAUUUCUGCAGGAGAGAGAAAUCUGCCUGACAGAUAAACAUCCCUCCAGCCUUUCCUAAGCCCUAUUUGUAAAGAAAGCUUGAUGGAAAGGGAAUUCUGUACAACUUCAAGGAAAAACAGUGGAGAGAUUGAAUCAAUAGGAAGCAUCCUCCUUACUCCCAUUUCAGGAAAUCCAGAGAUCAGUGUGCUCUUAUUUCAAAAGGCUGUCAUCCAACAGAGUCACAUGGUGAUCUGAAAUCACCAAAGCCCCAGAGGAUGGCACAGGGCAAUGCAAAAAGCAUGAGGCUGAGAGUCAAGUGACAUGGGUUCUGUUCUCAGUUCUGUCAAGGUUUAGCUACAUGACCUUGGGCAAGCCACAUAAGCCUG
rnacentral:lncRNA from 10 species